rnacentral:rRNA from 1 species
UGGGGUCGGGGACACCACUGGAAACGGUGGCUAAUACCGGAUAAGCCUUUGGGUAAAAAUUUAUUGCCCCAAGAGGAGCUCGCGUCUGAUUAGCUAGUUGGUGAGGUAAAAGCUCACCAAGGCAGCGAUCAGUAGCUGGUCUGAGAGGACGAUCAGCCACACUGGGACUGAGACACGGCCCAGACUCCUACGGGAGGCAGCAGUGGGGAAUUUUCCGCAAUGGGCGAAAGCCUGACGGAGCAAGACCGCGUGAGGGAGGAAGGCUCUUGGGUUGUAAACCUCUUUUCUCAGGGAAGAAGCUCUGACGGUACCUGAGGAAUCAGCCUCGGCUAACUCCGUGCCAGCAGCCGCGGUAAUACGGAAGGAGGCAAGCGUUAUCCGGAAUUAUUGGGCGUAAAGCGUCCGCAGGUGGCGAUUCAAGUCUGCUGUCAAAGCACGGUGCUUAACUCCGUUAAUGCAGUGGAAACUGAAUAGCUAGAGUGCCGUAAGGGUAGAGGGAAUUCCCGGUGUAGCGGUGAAAUGCGUAGAGAUCGGGAAGAACAUCGGUGGCGAAAGCG